rnacentral:rRNA from 1 species
CAGUAGCCGCGGUAAUACGAAGGGGGCUAGCGUUGCUCGGAAUUACUGGGCGUAAAGGGCGCGUAGGCGGACAGUUAAGUUGGGGGUGAAAGCCCGGGGCUCAACCUCGGAAUUGCCUUCAAUACUGGCUGUCUUGAGUAUGAGAGAGGUGUGUGGAACUCCGAGUGUAGAGGUGAAAUUCGUAGAUAUUCGGAAGAACACCAGUGGCGAAGGCGACACACUGGCUCAUUACUGACGCUGAGGCGCGAAAGCGUGGGGAGCAAACAGGAUUAGAUACCCGCGUAGUCCCUGUCUCUUAUAC